GGAUGUGAGGGCGAUCUGGCUGAGACAUCUGUCACCCCAUUGAUCGCAGGGUUGAUUCAGCUGAUCUGGCUGGCUAGGCGGGUGUCCCCUUCCUCCCUCACCGCUCCACGUGCGUCCCUCUCGAAGCUGCGCGCUCGGUCGAAGAGGACGACCUUCCCCGAUAGAGGAGGACCUUUCUUCGGUCAAGGGUAUACCAGUAGCUGCGCUCCCCUGCUAGAACCUCCAAACAAGCUCUCAAGGCACAUAAUUGUUUAUAGCAGCAUAGUUCACAAUAACCAAGUUUU
rnacentral:snRNA from 1 species